rnacentral:rRNA from 1 species
AUUGAACGCUGGCGGCAGGCCUAACACAUGCAAGUCGAGCGGAUGAGAGGAGCUUGCUUCUCGAUUCAGCGGCGGACGGGUGAGUAAUGCCUAGGAAUCUGCCUGAUAGUGGGGGACAACGUUUCGAAAGGAACGCUAAUACCGCAUACGUCCUACGGGAGAAAGCAGGGGACCUUCGGGCCUUGCGCUAUCAGAUGAGCCUAGGUCGGAUUAGCUAGUUGGUGAGGUAAUGGCUCACCAAGGCGACGAUCCGUAACUGGUCUGAGAGGAUGAUCAGUCACACUGGGACUGAGACACGUCCCAGACUCCUACGGGAGUCAGCAGUGGGGAAUAUUGGACAAUGGGCGAAAGCCUGAUCCAGCCAUGCCGCGUGUGUGAAGAAGGUCUUCGGAUUGUAAAGCACUUUAAGUUGGGAGGAAGGGUUGUAGAUUAAUACUCUGCAAUUUUGACGUUACCGACAGAAUAAGCACCGGCUAACUCUGUGCCAGCAGCCGCAGUAACAC